rnacentral:rRNA from 1 species
CUACGGGGGGCAGCAGUGGGGAAUAUUGCGCAAUGGGGGAAACCCUGACGCAGCGACGCCGCGUGAAGGAAGAAGGCCUUCGGGUUGUAAACUUUUGUUUUUGGUGAAGAUAAUGACGGUAGCCAAGGAGAAAGCCACGGCUAACUACGUGCCAGCAGCCGCGGUAAUACGUAGGUGGCAAGCGUUGUCCGGAUUUACUGGGUGUAAAGGGCGUGUAGACGGGUUUGCAAGUCAGAUGUGAAAUGCAGGGGCUUAACCCCUGAGCUGCAUUUGAAACUGUAAAUCUUGAGUGCAGGAGAGGAAAGCGGAAUUCCUAGUGUAGCGGUGAAAUGCGUAGAUAUUAGGAGGAACACCAGUGGCGAAGGCGGCUUUCUGGACUGUAACUGACGUUGAGGCGCGAAAGCGUGGGUAGCAAACAGGAUUAGAUACCCUUGUAGUC